GCCUCAUGGUGGCCAGGACUUAUUUGUCCACUAGGACCGGUGUUAGGCCCAUUUUGGACACGCCCCCUGAGUCCGAGAUCCCUUUGCCGCCCCCUUACUUCCCUUUAAGAGGAAGUGAUGCGAAUGCAGGAAGUUCUGCACCCCUUCCCCUAUUGCCCCCCUCCACUUCCGCUUCCUCCUCCAGUACAGAAUCCACCCCCCCUCGUAUUAAAACUCCCCUUCCUGAACCAGGACCAACCCCCAUUAGAUCUGAAUAUCCUGAUUUGGCGCCACUUCAAACUUCCGGUCAAGCUUCUUCUAGCUCGGCUCGGAGUAUACUAUUCACUAACUUUUCCCAAAAUCAAGUUCCCACAUCCUCAUGCCCUAUUACCUCUCGACCGGAACCUUUAACUGACGCCCCUCCACGUAGCCCCAUACUAACCCGACAACUGACUGGUACCCAACAAUUAAAACAUUAUCAGAUGCCUCUUCGUCUGAAUCCUGGGUCAGCCUAUAUCGAUGCCGCAGGUCAAAUGGCACAUGCUGACCCAGUUUCGUAUAUGUCCCGUUCACGACUACCGAUCUCUUGAAUUGGAAGACCCACAAUUCCUCGUACACUGAGAAACCACAAGCUAUGACCGAUCUGUUCACCUCGAUAGUUCAGACACAUAACCCGACAUGGGCUGAUUGCCAGCAGUUAUUAAUGACAUUG